rnacentral:rRNA from 1 species
UUUGGUGAUGAUGGCAGAGAGGUCACACCCGUUCCCAUACCGAACACGGAAGUUAAGCUCUCUAGCGCCGAUGGUAGUUGGAACCUUGUCCCUGUGAGAGUAGGACGUCGCCAAGC